GUGCUCGCUUCGGUAGCAUAUAUACUGAAACUGGACCGAAACAGAGAAGAUUAGCAUAGCUCCUGUGCAAAUCCGCAAAUCCGAGAAGCGUUCCAUACUUAA
ensembl:snRNA U6 U6 spliceosomal RNA